CAGCAUAUACCUGCAGGCUUUGUGAUUGUGGAGCAGUGGAAGACGAAUUGCAUGUGUUUUUCGGAAUGCCCCGCUUAUGAUGGCUUCAGGGCUAAGUAUGCGAGUGAAUUCGGGUUUCAAGGGCACAACACGCGCACGAUUGUCCUAUGGGCCCCCGCUGGCAUUACCUAGCUUUCUUUCCGAGGUCUGACGGACUAGGCGCACAGCGCUCCGGCGCUUUGUACCCAAAUGGGAACCCGACACCGCAACAUAAACUUUCACCGACGGUCCAUGUGGCCCCCGACUUUGAUGGACCCCUCCACACUUGUGUGGACACUGCAAGUGUAGCUGUAGCCGUAACUAGCAUCGCCUACACCGACAUAUGUUGCUUUUGCAUCAUUACGCUUUUCAUACCCAUGGGUAUGGAGCCGCUAGUAACCAAAUAGCCAACCCUAUUCAGCAACCUUGGCGGGUACUUUCAGCUACACAGGGUGCUCACGGC
rnacentral:lncRNA from 1 species